GGGGAAUCUUCCGCAAUGGGCGCAAGCCCGACGGAGCAAGACCGCGUGAGGGAGGAAGGCUCUUGGGUUGUAAACCUCUUUUCUUUGGGAAGAAGCAAGUGACGGUACCAAAGGAAUCAGCCUCGGCUAACUCCGUGCCAGCAGCCGCGGUAAUACGGAGGAGGCAAGCGUUAUCCGGAAUCAUUGGGCGUAAAGCGUCCGCAGGUGGCACUUCAAGUCUGCUGUCAAAGACUGGGGCUUAACCCUAGAAAGGCAGUGGAAACUGAAGAGCUAGAGUACGGUAGGGGUAGAGGGAAUUCCCGGUGUAGCGGUGAAAUGCGUAGAGAUCGGGAAGAACAUCGGUGGCGAAAGCGCUCUACUGGGUCGUAACUGACACUGAGGGACGAAAGCUAGGGGAGCGAAAGGGAUUAGAUACCCCAGUAGUC
rnacentral:rRNA from 1 species